rnacentral:tRNA from 1 species
AUCCAUAAAGUUCCUAGAACAUAAUAUUGAAGAUAUUAAAGAGCUACUUCUAUGUAAA